rnacentral:RNase_P_RNA from 1 species
AAAGCCUGCCAGGCCGCCGCUGGUGCAUGGCGGGAAACCGCGCACUGGAGGAACGUCCGGACUGCACAGGACAGCGCAGCAGCUAACGGCUGCCCACUGAAAGCGCCGCAAGGCGUAUAAGGUGAGGAUUAGAGCAACAGAGACGAGCCGCUUUAGGUAGCGGGUGAAACGGGCAAUCUCUGCGCGCAGCAAUGCCAAGUAGGCCAGUUUUGGUGUGGUUCCGCACUUAGCUGGCGGGUAGGCAGCACCGAGCCGUGGGGCGACUCGCGGCCCAGAUGAAUGGCGGCUAGCGCACGGGGUUUCUCGUGCGUCACAGAAUCCGGCGUAUCGGCAGGCUUUACUC